UACGUAGGGUGCGAGCGUUAAUUGGAAUUACUGGGCGUAAAGCGUGCGCAGGCGGUUCUGAAAGUCAGCUGUGAAAGCCCCGGGCUUAACCUGGGGAAUUGCGCGCGAAACGGGGGGGGCUUGAGUUCGGGAGAGGAGCGUGGAAUUCCCAGUGUAGAGGUGAAAUUCGUAGAUAUUGGGAAGAACACCGAUGGCGAAGGCAGCCAUCUGGACCGACACUGACGCUGAGGCGCGAAAGCGUGGGGAGCAAACAGG
rnacentral:rRNA from 1 species